AUGGCCGCGGUAUUUUGACCGUGCAAAGGUAGCAUAAUCAUUAGUUUUUUAAUUGAAAGCUGGAAUGAAUGGUUGGACAAGAAAAUUUCUGUCUCUAUCUAAUUUUUAGAAUUUUAUUUUUUAGUCAAAAAGCUUAAAUUUUUUUAAGGGACGAGAAGACCCUAUAGAAUUUUACAAAUUUGUUUAUUUUUAAUUUUUAGUUUUAUUAUUGGAAAUUAGGUUGAAUUUGUUUAGUUGGGGUGAUUGGAAAAUUUGGAAAACUUUUUUUGAAUUUAAAUCAUUGGUAUAUGAUUAAUUGAUCCAUUAGUUAUGAUUAUAAGAUUAAAUUACCUUAGGGAUAACAGC
rnacentral:rRNA from 1 species